AUUCAAGUAAAGUGGGAAGGAAGAACAAGGCGAAGAAGAAGACAAGGAAUGGUCAGGAUAUCAAUUUUACAUCAGAUAUUGAUAUUGAUGCUAUGCUUAAUGACAUGGUUUCAUCCUACAACCUUUCGGUGUUAGAUUCAAAUCGACAAGCUCAUGGUAGCAUUGAAGCAGUUUCAUGCGUACUCAUGGUAUUUGAUCUGCUAAGGAGGAGGAUUUCACAAGUUGAAGAGUCUAAGGAACCAAUGCCUGGAAAUAUAAGGCGUCCAGAUCUUAAAA
rnacentral:misc_RNA from 1 species